rnacentral:rRNA from 1 species
GUCGAGCGGUAGCACAGAGAGCUUGCUCUCGGGUGACGAGCGGCGGACGGGUGAGUAAUGUCUGGGAAACUGCCUGAUGGAGGGGGAUAACUACUGGAAACGGUAGCUAAUACCGCAUAACGUCGCAAGACCAAAGUGGGGGACCUUCGGGCCUCAUGCCAUCAGAUGUGCCCAGAUGGGAUUAGCUAGUAGGUGGGGUAACGGCUCACCUAGGCGACGAUCCCUAGCUGGUCUGAGAGGAUGACCAGCCACACUGGAACUGAGACACGGUCCAGACUCCUACGGGAGGCAGCAGUGGGGAAUAUUGCACAAUGGGCGCAAGCCUGAUGCAGCCAUGCCGCGUGUGUGAAGAAGGCCUUCGGGUUGUAAAGUACUUUCAGCGGGGAGGAAGGCGAUAAGGUUAAUAACCUUGUCGAUUGACGUUACCCGCAGAAGAAGCACCGGCUAACUCCGUGCCAGCAGCCGCGGUAAUACGGAGGGUGCAAGCGUUAAUCGGAAUUACUGGGCGUAAAGCGCACGCAGGCGGUCUGUCAAGUCGGAUGUGAAAUCCCCGGGCUCAACCUGGGAACUGCAUUCGAAACUGGCAGGCUAGAGUCUUGUAGAGGGGGGUAGAAUUCCAGGUGUAGCGGUGAAAUGCGUAGAGAUCUGGAGGAAUACCGGUGGCGAAGGCGGCCCCCUGGACAAAGACUGACGCUCAGGUGCGAAAGCGUGGGGAGCAAACAGGAUUAGAUACCCUGGUAGUCCACGCCGUAAACGAUGUCGAUUUGGAGGUUGUGCCCUUGAGGCGUGGCUUCCGGAGCUAACGCGUUAAAUCGACCGCCUGGGGAGUACGGCCGCAAGGUUAAAACUCAAAUGAAUUGACGGGGGCCCGCACAAGCGGUGGAGCAUGUGGUUUAAUUCGAUGCAACGCGAAGAACCUUACCUGGUCUUGACAUCCACAGAACUUACCAGAGAUGCUUUGGUGCCUUCGGGAACUGUGAGACAGGUGCUGCAUGGCUGUCGUCAGCUCGUGUUGUGAAAUGUUGGGUUAAGUCCCGCAACGAGCGCAACCCUUAUCCUUUGUUGCCAGCGGUUCGGCCGGGAACUCAAAGGAAACUGCCAGUGAUAAA